GGGUAGGCGCCGCGUGGGACUCGGGGGCCCGCCACCCCGGCCAGGCUCGGUUGACCCGCGGGCACCGAAGGGUUAAGCGCGCUCCAGCCGCGGGCCUCCCGCUUAACCCCCUCGGUACCGCGGCGUGCUCUCCCCUUCCCCCCGGCGGGGCCCGCGGAUCCCGCCGAGGCCGGGUGCGGAUUAACCGCUCCUCCCCCGGCAUUUCUUCGGGGCGGGGGCCGGGGGACGCUUAGGCUCCCGCGGCUGGCCUCGGCUGUCGGCGUCGUCCUCCCCCGGAGCACACCUGGAGGAGGCCCCGCCCCCUGGGAGCACAGGUGCCGGCGGGCGGUUGUCGCUCGGUUGGCGAGGGGCUCUGCCCGGCUCCCAAACCGCUCCGGAGCCGGGCAGGAGCCCCCCACACACUUUUCCUCGGCUCUUUCCGAUUGCGGGGGAGAUGGGAGAGCCCGGCUGUCUGGAGAGCACUCGCCGCCCCAGGUUUUCCCAGGAAAAGAGACCAACCAGGAUCUCUGAGAAUUUCUUUCCAGGAAGCAAACUUCUGUGAAUCCCACAACCGCAAGGAACUGAAUGCUGCCAACCAUCACUCAAGUUAGAAAACAGGUGCUUCCCUGGUCGAGGCUCCAGAUGAGAACCUAACCCUGGCCAACAGCUUAACUGCAGCCUUGUGAGACUCUAAGCAGAGGACCCAGCUGAGUCAUGCCUGGACUUCGGAACCACAGAAACUAAAAUAAUAAAUAAAUGAAAUUUGAUCGACCAUGUUAAAGGAAAGACGGAAUUAUCCUUCCUGUCUCCAUAGAAAAUGAUAUUCAUUGUCAUGUGAAGAGAGGACCAGAGGAUGCUGCAGGGAAAAAGUCUAAGAGAGGAAAGCAACCCAGAAGGGAAGAUCAUGCUUUAUUUUGUUUGGAACUUUACCAAGAAACCUUCACCAUUUUGGAAAGUCAAAUCACUGACAGCAAUACCGCUAGUUGUAUUUGAUGGUCAAUAAAAAUGACAAAUGAAUGCCAACACCACACAGAGUUGCAGCAUUUGUAGCUGUCACAUUUAUGGUGAUUUUACGUAUAGCUGCAGGUAUCUGAUGACUUUAUAUCUUCUGGUGUAGGUGGGCCUGAGCAUUUACAUAUUGAAAUACAUAUUGUUUUAUAUAAAAUACUUUCCUUUUAUUUCUUUUUUCUGUUACAGUUAAGAUACUAUAUUGAUUUUUAAAAUCAUGUAUGUUAAGUAGAUUAUAUUAUCUCUGAAUUCCAUUUCAGAAUAGUAAAAGAGGAGCUUCAAAUAAAAGAGAAGACAAUAGUAUGGCUGAAAACCACUGAUUAAGUUUAACUGCCUCAUUUCAUAAUAAAGAAACUGAGGCUAUACCUAUUCAAUCUAUACAGGUUACAAAGUCUGUCAAUAACAGUGCUAGGACCAGAACCUAGGACCCCUCUCUGCUUUCAGGGCCCAUAGCACCAGACCAAGCAACUUUCCAAUAUUCUCAGAUAUUACCAAGAAUCUAACCACUGUUAAAAUAGGAAUGCCACAGAGAAAGGGAGGUGAAACAAUGUCCAACAUUAAGACCUACACUUGAAUGGUAUGAUCUUAUUCUUUUUAAGUGGCCCAGAAGUUUAGAGAAUCUUCCUGCCUGGAUCAGACACUGGGAAGAGUGUCAAAGUUGUAAAAGUCAUUAAGAAAGGUUGUGGAGAGAAAGUGACCAAAAAUGCCAAAGACAAACAUCCUCAGCAGCAGUCUUUUGCCAAAGGUUAAUGCUGAGAGUAAUCCUACUGGAGAAGACAUUUCAUGUGCCAUCUGACCUGGCAGUGGCAUUGCCAUGACCAGUGCAUCCCACCCCUGCAGUCUCAGCACCCAUCUGACCUGGAGGCAGGGAAGGAGGGUAAUGUCACUAGUCAUAGGGACUGUCCUAGAAGAAUGGCCAUUGCUAUGACACUUGAGAGAACGCUCAUGUAAAUGGGCUUAAUUCCAACCAUCUUGAGUCAGGCUCAAAAUAUUAAUUUCCUGAGCAUACAGGAUCCUGCCUGGAUUGAAGUGCAAAAAAACAGCUGAGUUUCCCAAGUAACCUAGAAAUCCACACUGAAAAAGGAAGGUAGUUUCUUUCAAACAAUCCAAGGAUUGGCAAUGAGGAUGAAGAAGAGGCCAGACCCGCCAUUCAAGCAUGAGUAGCUUAAUUCUGGUACGUUUUCAAGAAUCAGGAAAACCAACCAUAAAAUUAGCUUCAAUAGAUAAUAUUAUACAUGCAUGUGUGUAAAACCACACUUUUAUCCCCCCACCAUUACCACCCCAAACCAGCUCUUCCUUCUAUUUCCAUCCAGGGUACCAUUAUUCUUAUAAACUCAAAACCUCAGCCUUUAGACUAUACCUGGUCCCUCACUCUGUACAUUCAAUCAGUUGCUAGAUUUCCUCUGAAACUUUCUUAUGUCCCAGUUUUGUACUCUUUCUGCUACUAGUUUAAGCCUCAUGCUCUUUCGCCUGAAUACCAUAGGAACUGCCUAACCUGUCUUUCUCCCUUUUCUCCAUUUGUCUUGCCAGGUAAGGAUCCUAAAGGGCAGGACCAAUUAUAUCAUUCCAUCCACACAUUUAUUUGCUCAUUCUUUCUUUCAUUCAUGCAUCAAAUACUUGGACCAUUAUGUGCCAGGCAAUUGGAAUACACUGGUGAGUGUGUCACAGCCCCCCCUGAAGGAGCUUCCCACCUGGAGAUGGAUACAGAAAAUUCAGCAAGUGUUAGAGUUCGGAGAGAUGGGUGGUAUGACAGGGUGACCAUGGGGGAGGGGGCACCCUGCACCAGGGUCCAACUCAGUUAGGGGACAGGGAAGACCUUUGGAGGAAAUGAUAGGUGAAACCUCAAGAAUAAGUUAGCGUGGGCCAUAAAUAAAGGGAUGGGAGAGAAGGUGGAGACACAGAGGCAAUAGAACAGGGAGUCUUGGUGAACAGCAAGUAGCUCAUCAUUUCAGUGGGUGUGUACCUGCAAGUGGAUGUAGAAGGAAUAAGCUAAAAAGACCACUGGAGGGAGGAUCAAGGGUAUUAUAAACUCUGCUAAAACUCUUCAAAUACUUACCAAAUUAAAUGCCCUUUCCUCAUCCUGGCACUCAAGGCUCUAUCCACUGUGACUUGGUCUACCUCCUGGUCUUCUUUCCCGCUCUCUAGACUUUUAUUCUGACACUGACUGUUCUAUGAUGAGGCUUAUACGUCUUCCCUCUUCCUCUCUCCUCGGUCACCCUAACCUUGGCAUUGGUUCUCAAAACACACACACACACACACACACACACACACACACAUAUACAUCCCAAAGGUGGGCCUCACUUUAAGAAAAUUCAAUAUGGGAAAUCCAGGAGUGGUAAAUAGGUAUAUAAUAGGUUGAGGAAAGACAGGAUAAAUCACGCCUCAACGUACUCAAAGUUAAUCACAGUGAUUCUAAGUAGCAGUUCUUGAGUAUAUGACAGUGUUAUCUUAUAUGCCAUGAACAGCUUUACAAAGUCCCUGAGCUAGAGGGAAAAAACUUAAAGCUUCAUAUGUAAGGAACUACUUUUGAAUCAAAGACAAAUUAGAAAUAAAGAUAGUCAUCUCUCUUCUCUGAAUGGGAAUCAAGAAGAAAGUCACAUUCUAUUUACUGAAAUUCAUCUUACACAUCACUUUUUAGAAAUGUAUUUCUUGCAAAAGUAAAAUAGACUUGAAUUAUUCACUAAAAAACUAGCUAAAUAAAUAAAUAAUUCACUAAUACCUUCACUCAUCCAACAUUUACUGGAUACAUCCAUGUGCCAGGCAGUACAGUACACAGAAGGGAUAGAGGCUUGAAUAAGGUGAGCUUUGAGAGUAUAUUAUUUGGUAGGAAAAGAGUCCCAUAUCAGAAAAUACAAUAGGCGCUAACACUGACCUUGGCAGCCUGUAAGGGUCAAGCAGGAGCCAUUUCAGAUGAGAUGGUGAAAUCAUAGGGUGGGGGUGGGGGGAAGUAUCUGAAGUUCAGAUCAUAGUUCUGACUCUGCCAGUAAGUUACUAUAUGGUUUUAGGGCAAAACACAUACAAUUUGGGCCCCAAUUUCUCCACCUAUAAUGUGAGGGAGUGGAUCAGUUGAUUCUGAAGUCCCUUUAAUCCAAUAGCAAUCAAAACUGAGAAUAAUUAUCAGAGGCUUGGCUUUGAACAGUUGGUAGACCAGUGAAUAUGCAAGUAACUAAGGAUGAUCACUGGAGUGCAGAAGGGGACGAUGAUACUGUGUUUGAUGUGAUCAUGUGUGUACACAGGAUGGAACAUGAACAUGAUGAAGAGAUGAAGAAACUGAAGCAUCACAAAAUUAAAUGCCCAAGAUGAUACCACAGUUCUGCUGUAAAAUGCACAGAUAAUUUGCAUGAGGUUGUUUACUAUAUUACUCUCUAAUUGGUCUCCACUUGUUCUCCAAAAUGAGUGAUUUAUUUAGAACUUACAUGUAUUGAUAGAUAACCAACAAGGACCUACUGUGUAGCAUGGGGAAUGCUACUCAAUAUUCUGUGAUAACUUAUAUGAGAAAAGAAUCUAAAAAGGAAUGAAUGUAUGUAUUAUAUAUGUAUAACUGAAUCACUUUGCUGUACACCUGAAACUAACACAACA